UCCUACGGGAGGCAGCAGUGGGGAUAUUGCACAAUGGGGGAAACCCUGAUGCAGCGACGCCGCGUGGAGGAAGAAGGUUUUCGGAUUGUAAACUCCUGUCGUUAGGGACGAUAAUGACGGUACCUAACAAGAAAGCACCGGCUAACUACGUGCCAGCAGCCGCGGUAAAACGUAGGGUGCAAGCGUUGUCCGGAAUUACUGGGUGUAAAGGGAGCGCAGGCGGGAAGACAAGUUGGAAGUGAAAACCAUGGGCUCAACCCAUGAAUUGCUUUCAAAACUGUUUUUCUUGAGUAGUGCAGAGGUAGAUGGAAUUCCCGGUGUAGCGGUGGAAUGCGUAGAUAUCGGGAGGAACACCAGUGGCGAAGGCGGUCUACUGGGCACCAACUGACGCUGAGGCUCGAAAGCAUGGGUAGCAAACAGGAUUAGAUACCCUGGUAGUCCAUGCCGUAAACGAUGAUUACUAGGUGUUGGGGGAUUGACCCCCUCAGUGCCGCAGUUAACACAAUAAGUAAUCCACCA
rnacentral:rRNA from 1 species